UGUGUCUUGUCCCAGGUAUUCAAUUCCCUUCCUACGUGUUGUGGAGAAACUGUAAUCCUUUAAAGAUUACUGAUAAACACAAUGAAAAAAAGAAGCUGAUAGACCAAAAUAUGAAGGUACUUGGAGUUUUUUCUCUGGUUGGAUGGACCUCAUGACAGUUUGAAAAACCACUAUUAUUGGGAGAAAAGAGGAAACUCCUAUCAGCUGAAGAUGUGGAGUAAUGUAAAGCAGGAGGAUGUAUGUUCCAGGAAACAAUUACCCUGGCUCUUUGCAGAGAAAAAAGAAGAAAGGGAGUAAAAUCUAAAGCAUUAAUUCCACACCCCUCCACAUCUCCCCCAUCCUUCUUUCACAGAUUCGUUUCCGCGGCAGAGCUGAGCUGAUUAAGGACCACUGGCCAGAGGGGAGCAGUGUCAGGGCCACCCAGCCUGGCACCAGGCAUCCUGCAGCUG
rnacentral:lncRNA from 1 species